rnacentral:rRNA from 1 species
AGUGAACGCUGGCGGUAGGCCUAACACAUGCAAGUCGAACGGCAGCACAGUAAGAGCUUGCUCUUACGGGUGGCGAGUGGCGGACGGGUGAGGAAUACAUCGGAAUCUACUUUUUCGUGGGGGAUAACGUAGGGAAACUUACGCUAAUACCGCAUACGACCUACGGGUGAAAGCAGGGGAUCUUCGGACCUUGCGCGAUUGAAUGAGCCGAUGUCGGAUUAGCUAGUUGGCGGGGUAAAGGCCCACCAAGGCGACGAUCCGUAGCUGGUCUGAGAGGAUGAUCACCCACACUGUAACUGAGACACGGUCCAGACUCCUACGGGAGGCAGCAGUGGGGAAUAUUGGACGAUGGGCGCAAGCCUGAUCCAGCCAUACCGCGUGGGUGAAGAAGGCCUUCGGGUUGUAAAGCCCUUUUGUUGGGAAAGAAAAGCAGCAGGUUAAUACCCCGCUGUUCUGACGGUACCCAAAGAAUAAGCACCGGCUAACUUCGUG